AUUGAACGCUGGCGGCAGGCCUAACACAUGCAAGUCGAACGAGUGGCGGACGGAUGAGUAAUGUAUGGGCAAAGGCCUGAUGGAGGAGGAUAACUACUGGAAACUAUAACUAAUACCGCAUUCCAUCAGCUAUGCCCGGAUGGGAAUAGCUUGGUGGUGGGGUAACGGCUCACCAAGGCGACGAGCCCUAGCUGGUGUGAGAGGAAGACCAGCCACACUGGAACUGAGACACGGUCCAGACUCCUACGGGAGGCAGCAGUGGGGAAUUUUGGACAAUGGGCGAAAGCCUGAUGCAGCCAUGCCGCGUGUACGAAGAAGGCCUUCGGGUUGUAAAGUACUUUCAGCGGGGAGGCGGUACCCGCAGAAGAAGCACCGGCUAACUCCGUGCCAGCAGCCGCGGUAAUAC
rnacentral:rRNA from 1 species